rnacentral:misc_RNA from 1 species
GAAAAAUUUGAAAAUGCAAUCCCUCAAACAAGCACAACGCCGCCUUCAAUUUUUCUCUCAUCCGUCAGAGAAAUCGAUUAUCAUCUCUCCUCUACUUCAACAAGCCUAUGCAUCAUCAUCAUCAUCAUCGAGUGAAAUUGAGAAACCCACCAAUUCAAAACUAGCGCUAACACAACAAGAGCUAACUAAAAUCAAUCUUUUGAUCCCUCGCCUAUGCCUUUCUGACCAUCUAAGCACAGCAAUCCACCUAACUGCUACUGCUCUUCUCACAAAUCCACCUUACAAAUCAAUAUCUUUCUCCAUUCUGAUUCAUUCCCUCACUUCCCAACCUGACAUGACCAAAUCCAUGUCACUUCUUACCAUUCUUAGACACGCCCCACAAGCCCAUCCUCAUCUCACUCGCAUCACUGUCAUGCUCGUUAGCUCAUAUGUUAAAAAGAAGAGACCCAAAGAAGCCUACAAAGUGUACCAAUGGAUGCUCAGGCCUGGCUUUCCAUGUAAAGUGGAAAAGAUUGUGUAUAAGCUUUUGGUUAAUGGGUUUUGCGAAUGUGGGUUGAUUCUUGAGGCUUUCAGGGUUUUGAGGGAUAUGGUGGGUGUGGGUUUUGUGCCUGGUUCUGGAUUAAGGAGAAGGGUUUAUAGGAGCUUGUUGAGAGAGGCUAGGGUAUGGGAGGCAGUUAGGUUGGAUGAGGCUUUGCGCAGUUAUUUUGGUGAUGCUAAUAGUGAGGGUGUUAAAAAGGUGAUGGAAUUGUUGGAUUCUACGAUUGGGAGCUGGACAGAGUAGGAAAAGGUACACCUUAUUGAUUGUUAACCUUCGGUUUAUAUGAACAUUCAUUUUCUUUUAGAAUUGAAUUUGUGAAUGUUUAAUUUCCAGAUUGUAGAAUUUACUCAGUAUGUUGAAAUCGUCCUUUAAGCUUUGACAAUGAAAGAUAAAUUUUUUCUCUAUAAGGAUGAGACCUUCUUCAACUAAGAUUCUGAUAUGGUAUCUAUGCGGUAUCUGAUGCUGCCGUGAGUCCAGAUGUCCAGUCAGACAGCCCAUUCAGCGUGUGAACAAAGAAAACAGUGAGGUCAGUAGCCUCUCCUACGCACAAGAAGUUGGAGAUUUGUGGUAGCCUCUCCUAAGCUCAAGAGAUUUGUGAAAAUGAAGGAUUGAAUAAUUAGAGUUUCAGAGCUUAACUGAUUAAUGACUGUUUCUGCUAAGUAGCUAUUGUAGCUAUCUGCAUAAAUAUCAAUAUUCGGUUAAUAAACUAGAUUUCCUUAUACGGCAUUAUUAUCAUUGACUGGAUGCUCGGUCUGGGUGACUCAAGCCAAUUUUAACUCAGUCUGAUAGUGGGAACCUUAUUUGGUCUGUACAGCUAACUCAAGGCACAUGUUGGUUGGUCUGGUUCACUAGCCAAGAUUUUCUUCUUUGCACUCUAGUGAUGAUUUUCUUCUUUGUUUUGACUCUUUGAUGGGGUUGGAUUUUUCCAACCAGCAUUGACUAUUUGACUCGAUUUCGGGCGUAGCAUCAGUGUCCAUUUCCUGUUGUAGAAAUUUAUUUCUUUAUUUAUUUUUAGCCUUUGGGUGUUAGAGGAAGAUAUUUUAUAGUGAUUGAUAUCUUGGUCUGCUAGAGUAGAACAGUUAAACAAAUGAUACUGAAAGGUUUCUGGUUUCUUGGAAAAUUAGAUCAUUUUGGUUUAGGAUAUGCGGUAGUUAUGCAUACUUUUGUUUUUUGGUCUAUGAUGUAUGUCAUUACCCACUGUAGAACAUUAAACAAAAUUAUCUUGGUUUUACUGAGUGAAACUCUUGUAUUUUCUUUUAUUAUCUUAAUCUGUUUGAAGUAGCGAGGAGCUUGGCAUGGUUUGUAAAAUAGCGGGUUUGAGCAUUUAAUAGGCCAUAGGUAUGAAUGUGACCUAUCGGAUAAAGCAAAAGACAGGGUACUCUUGCUUAGCUCUGAUUGUCUUGCCCUGUGAACGGUUUGGCAUAUGUUAGUUGGAUAUAACGUCAAACCACCUUUUAGGGAGUCAUUCGAUGCUAAAUUAUUAGCUCAUAAAUAAGAUGAUAUGAAAACAGUUCAAAACCAAUGUCUAGAUGAAGUACUUUAAGUAGAAUGUGAUGAAGUAACAAUUCACAAACCCAAGUGACAUGUGUUAAAAUAACAAUCCCGAAACCAACGAGGUUGACCUGUUACCAGAUUUGCAUAUAGCUAUGAAAGGCUUGCUCUUGAGCCUAUAAAUGUUUUCAUGUCUUUUCAUUUUUCCAUUGAUGCCAUGAUGAUGUUUCUUUAUCCUAUUUAUGUUCACGUGAAAAUGGCUAUAAGUCCCUAUUGUGAUGUUUUAUUAAUUUAGCAAAUAGAUUAUAAACUAUCUCUUCAAUUUAUGUAGGACUGUCAAAUGUUUUUUCAUGCCACCUUAAAUCAAAUGGGCAAAUUUUCAGAAUGCUACCUGUGGACAUGAGAUGCUUAGACAUAGAGCAGAGUUUCUUUCUGUUGCAUUGCUAAACUAUUCAUUCAUUUUCCCAGGUAAUGGAGAAUUGAAAGUGUCUGUUGACCAAAUUGCAGCUGAAAUCUCGUCUUGGCCAAACUGUCUUCAGCUUAUGGGAAGCUAAAAUUAUUAUGUGAAUUUUUAGCAUCGCUUGCCUAAAGCCAAAUUGACAUGGAGGUUCCCAAAUUACUUUCCAACUUCUUUGGCCGUCACGUGUCAAUCUUUGAAAUCGACAGUCUUCCCUAGUUCAUACUACAUAUUUGUGAGGCAAUUUGCUCUCUCAAUGCAGGUUGUUUAGUGUUGCCAUACCCACCCCAGGGCAUCAAGCUAUGGUUUCACCUUCUUUUUGUUCUCACUACUGUGAAUAUUGUAUUUAUUUUAGAAUUAGAAUUUGCUCUCAAAUGAGUUUUCUGCCAGUUACAAGCUCUAGGUUUUUAUUUUCCCUACUCUUGGAUAACUUGUGUUGUUCCAUCCAAGAAUAUUCAGGUAUUGUGGGUGUAGGUGGGUUCUUAAUACGAUGAGGGAAAAGGGGAAAUGGUGAGUGUCACUUAGGAUAUAGUUAAAAGAGGUAUGGGGUAGAGAGACAGAGAUAGGUGGGAAGAAAGAUGGGCACUCUGGUGAAUUUGAUGCACGGGAUAGGUUUAAUGGAAUUAGAUGAGAUAAUAAUGAGGGAAUAUCCAGGAGAAUUUUAUUGUGG